GUAGGACUGCUCUACACUGGGCCUGUGUCAACGGCCAUGCGGAAGUAGUAACAUUUCUGGUAGACAGAAAGUGCCAGCUUGACGUCCUGAUGGCGAAAACUGGACACCUCUGAUGAAGGCUCUACAAUGCCAGAGGGAGGCUUGUGCAAAUAUUCUCACAGAUUCUGGUGCCGAUCUAAAUAUUGUAGAUGUGUAUGGCAACACGGCUCUCCAUUAUACUGUUUAUAGUGAGAAUUUGUCAAUGGUGGCAAAACUGCUGUCCCAUGGUGCAGUCAUCAAAGUGCAAAACAAGGUGGACGUUAACCAAGGUU
rnacentral:lncRNA from 1 species